GGUCAGUGUACCAUUUUAGGGGUCAAAAAUUUUUUCUGGACAUACCACAUACCAAAAGUUACCACAAAAUUGACAGAAUUUGUCAAAUUUUUUUUUUUAAUAAACUAAAAUUGCCCGACUGUUCAGCGAAUAUUGCCCGACUGCCAACUGCCCGGUACGCCCAUGACUUUGCUGUUUGCUUGCACGAAUUUUUUUUCUCUGACGUAAUGGCUGCACGAAUUUUUUUUCCAGGCAUUUUUCUUUGCACGAAUUUUUUUUUGGGAAUUUUCACCCCCCCUCCCGGGAUUUCUAAUGGUCCGCCCCUUAAUU